rnacentral:rRNA from 1 species
GACGAACGCUGGCGGCGUGCUUAACACAUGCAAGUCGAACGAAGAGCGACGGAAGCUUGCUUCUAUCAAUCUUAGUGGCGCACGGGUGAGUAACGCGUAAUCAACCUGCCCUUCAGAGGGGGACAACAGUUGGAAACGACUGCUAAUACCGCAUACGAUCUAACCUCGGCAUCGAGGAUAGAUGAAAGGUGGCCUCUACAUGUAAGCUAUCACUGAAGGAGGGGAUUGCGUCUGAUUAGCUAGUUGGAGGGGUAACGGCCCACCAAGGCGAUGAUCAGUAGCCGGUCUGGAGAGAUGGACGGCCACAUUGGGAAUGAGACACGGCCCAGACUCCUACGGGAGGCAGCAGUGGGGAAUCUUCCGCAAUGGACGAAAGUCCGACGGAGCAACGCCGCGUGAGUGAUGACGGCCUUCGGGUUGUAAAGCUCUGUUAAUCGGGACGAAAGGCCUUCUUGCGAAUAGUGAGAAGGAUUGACGGUACCGGAAUAGAAAGCCACGGCUAACUACGUG